GAAAAGAAUUUCAAAAAAGAAAUGGACAAACUAAACGCCAAAGUGACUGAGCUUCAAAGCGAACUGAAUGAGCGAAAUACACAUGAACAGCACUUGACGACAACAAUAAAAGAACUUAACGUAAGUACACUGACUUGCUGGGGGUACCC